ACGGGCUUCGGUCUGGUGGCGAGUGGCGAACGGGUGAGUAAAGUAUCGGAACGUACCUUUCAGUGGGGGAUAACGUAGCGAAAGUUACGCUAAUACCGCAUAUUCUGUGAGCAGGAAAGCAGGGGAUCGCAAGACCUUGCGCUGAUUGAGCGGCCGAUAUCAGAUUAGCUAGUUGGUGGGGUAAAGGCCUACCAAGGCGACGAUCUGUAGCGGGUCUGAGAGGAUGAUCCGCCACACUGGAACUGAGACACGGUCCAGACUCCUACGGGAGGCAGCAGUGGGGAAUUUUGGACAAUGGGGGCAACCCUGAUCCAGCCAUGCCGCGUGAGUGAAGAAGGCCUUCGGGUUGUAAAGCUCUUUCGGCCGGGAAGAAAUCGCAUGGGCUAAUACCCUGUGUGGAUGACGGUACCGGAAUAAGAAGCACCGGCUAACUACGUGCCAGCAGCCGCGGUAAUACGUAGGGUGCGAGCGUUAACCGGAAUUACUGGGCGUAAAGCGUGCGCAGGCGGUUUAGUAAGACAGGCGUGAAAUCCCCGGGCUCAACCUGGGAACUGCGCUUGUGACUGCUAAGCUAGAGUAC
rnacentral:rRNA from 1 species